rnacentral:rRNA from 1 species
UAAGACAGAGGCCUCGAGCGUUAGGCGGAAUCACUGGGCUUAAAGCGUGUGUAGGCGGAUCGUUAAGUGCCUUGUGAAAUCCCACGGCUUAACUGUGGAACGGCUGGGCAUACUGGCGGUCUUGAGCCAUCUAGGGGCGACUGGAACAAACGGUGGAGCGGUGAAAUGCGUAGAUAUCGUUUGGAACGCCAAUGGUGAAAACAGGUCGCUGGGGAUGAGCUGACGCUGAGACACGAAAGCCAGGGGAGCAAACGGGAUUAGAUACCCCGGUAGUCCUGGCCCUAAACGAUGUCCACUAGAUCGCAGGACCUCUGACGGUUUUGCGGUCGAAGCAAAAGUGCUAAGUGGACCGCCUGGGAAGUACGGUCGCAAGGCUA